rnacentral:rRNA from 1 species
UACGUAGGGUGCGAGCGUUAAUCGGAAUUACUGGGCGUAAAGCGUGCGCAGGCGGCUUUGCAAGACAGAUGUGAAAUCCCCGGGCUCAACCUGGGAACUGCAUUUGUGACUGCAAGGCUAGAGUACGGCAGAGGGGGAUGGAAUUCCGCGUGUAGCAGUGAAAUGCGUAGAUAUGCGGAGGAACACCAAUGGCGAAGGCAAUCCCCUGGGCCUGUACUGACGCUCAUGCACGAAAGCGUGGGGAGCAAAGGGG